GACGUAUAAUUCAGACAAGUUCCCAUCAGAAUCACUAAGAUAUAAGAAAUAGUUUCUUCUAUGAGGUUGUUCGGCUGUGGCUAUGAAAGCAGAAGUGCUAUUUGAGCAAAAUUACUUAGGUUAAAGAAUGGUUGAGACAAUUAAGUUCAAAAGUUUCCAUUUUCUCAUCUCACCGUCUCAGUCAGUAACAAGCCAAAAAAAAAAA
rnacentral:misc_RNA from 1 species